GACGAACGCUGGCGGCGUGCCUAAUACAUGCAAGUAGAACGCUGAAGAGAGGAGCUUGCUCUUCUUGGAUGAGUUGCGAACGGGUGAGUAACGCGUAGGUAACCUGCCUUGUAGCGGGGGAUAACUAUUGGAAACGAUAGCUAAUACCGCAUAACAAUGGAUGACACAUGUCAUUUAUUUGAAAGGGGCAAUUGCUCCACUACAAGAUGGACCUGCGUUGUAUUAGCUAGUAGGUGAGGUAAUGGCUCACCUAGGCGACGUUACAUAGCCGACCUGAGAGGGUGAUCGGCCACACUGGGACUGAGACACGGCCCAGACUCCUACGGGAGGCAGCAGUAGGGAAUCUUCGGCAAUGGGGGCAACCCUGACCGAGCAACGCCGCGUGAGUGAAGAAGGUUGUCGGAUCGUAAAGCUCUGUUGUAAGUCAAGAACGGGUGUGAGAGUGGAAAGUUCACACUGUGACGGUAGCUUACCAGAAAGGGACGGCUAACUACGUG
rnacentral:rRNA from 1 species